rnacentral:lncRNA from 1 species
AGAUGUGCCAGCACUCUAUCAUUCAUAUAUGUAAGGGCUAUAAUUUUUCUGUUUCGAUUCAUGAGUGAAUGUUGGAUAAGUAACAAUAGCAAUAGACUGAACUCUCUUCAUCAUAGUUGUGUUGUUGGAACAGUACUGUCAAUAAAGGAAAAAAAAAAGAUCUGAGGAUAAGUAUAGUUUGCGUGGUAUAUAUAGCAGGUGAAGAAGAAAAGGAACACGUGGUUAAAGAGCACCGUGAGAGUUUAGCAAUUACUUUUUUUUUUGGUAACUGAAUUUGCCUUGUAUUAGAUUUGUGAAGAACUAAGUUUGUGAGAGUUGUUAUUGAAUAAGAUUGUUUCUAAAGGGUUUGAUAAAGGUAUAAUGGUUUAUUUAAAUACAUUUCACUAUUUUAGUAUUUUAAGUAAGUUCAUAAUGAUGUGAUUAUGUGUCAUGUCAAUAAAAAUACAUCAUUAAUCUCAUCUUAAUAAUAAUAUCAUGCCAACAAUGAAAUUAAUGACAAUAAAAUAAAAUAAUUUUUUUUUAUGAAAACUUAAAAUAGAUAAAAUAAAUAUUACAGAACCUAAAAAUGAAAAGAAAUUAUAAGAAUUAAAAAAAAUAGAAUUUGCUUAUGUCUUUAACUAUCACUUAAAGUUGUUUAUAAUUUUUAUUUUAAAUAUUGGGUUGGACAAAAGAAAUGAUCAUUGUAUUCAUGUUAAGAAUAAAUAAAACAAAACAUAGUGGUAAAAAAAUAUAACAAAUUAAAUCCUAUAAUUUUUCUUUUGGAUGAAGUAUGAAUAUAAAAAGUAAGAGAGACAAAGUUGAAGACAUCAUCAAAGAAUUUUUCAUAAAUUUCUCUAUGAUGACUUCAGGAUAAAAAUCUCAUAUUUGACUUCAAAACACUUGAACACAUAUCCUAAUUAGCUAAAGUAUCAAUCACAUGAUUAGAAUCAUGUGACAUAAUUGCAAGUAACAAAGUUUAAAUGUUUCUCACUAACGCUAUUAAAUAAAAUAAGAUUAAUUGAAAUUUAUUUGUAUUUGAAGUCAAGACACAGAUAUAAUUUUUUGCUUGCAUUCGAAAUGAAAGAAAGCAAGGUCGUCUAAACUCUUAAAGAAAAUGGUUGGAGGUAGACAGAGGUGAAUGCACAUAUAAGCUUGUUCCCACCGUAUGAAUUUUUAUACUUGAAUAUAAUACUCCUAUUCAUAUGGACAUAGAUGCAAAAGUUUGAGAUGAGGAAGGUCACAAGCUUGGAUAGGUUUGGAAGAUAAAUGGUUUGUGAGAAUAUAUAAAUACUAAAUCAAAACAUAUUAUUGGAAGACAGUUGAAGGACUGGCGUUGGAGUAGUUAGUGCAGUGGAAAUAAAUGCUAUUAUUGGAGGACGGUUGAAGGAUUAGCGUACAUGGGGCUAGUUAUUGCGGUGGGAAUAAAUGCUAAAUUAAAACAUAUUAUUGGUGGAAAUUAGCGAUGGAAAUGAGUCAAGCUGCUUGUCAAGGACCUUUUGCUCGGUCUAUUUAAGGCUUGGUUCGGCUUGGCUUGUUUACUAUAAAGAUCAAGCUCAAGCUUUUUAAAAACUUUUUUAGAUAAAAAGGUCAAAGUCAAAUUAUAAAAAAAAGUUUGUUAAGCUUGACAAACCGGCUUGUUUAAGUAAUAAUAAUAAUAUUAAUAAUAAUAAUAACUAUUAUCUAUAUCAUUUUUAUGGCAUUAUGAAUGAUAGGAUGAAGUGACAUAAAGUGUUUAGAGAGUUCACUUGCAUGUGAAAAAUUUUCAAAAAGAAAAAGACUCAAGUUAAAAGGAUAAAGCAAUCAGAUUAAUACUUAAAAAAAAAGGAUGCUUUGUAAAAACAUUUUCACACAAUUUAAAUAUUUUUACUUGAUUAUCUUAUUAUAAAUCAUCUCUAAUCCAUAUAUUUUUUAAUAUUAUGCUCUCUUUUUUCAUUUUCUUUUGAUAUACUCCGUGUUUUAACAACUUGAAUUCAAUAUGAUUUUGUUUAUCAAUUAUUUUUGGAUUUGUACAUUACUUAUACUAAAUUUUAUAAGUUUCUUUUUUUAGUUAGUAUUUCACUAUGUUUUAGAAUAAUUAUUUGGUCAAUGACGUCUUUAAGCAUGCUUUUAAAUAGGCUCGUAGGCCAAGUCAGGCUUUUUUGUGAGUCGAGCCGAGCCUUUAAAAAAAAUCGUAUGACAGGUAAUGAGCGAAACUCAAGUUUUGCGUAUUCAACUCAAGCCUAGUAAAUCUUGGCUUGACUUAGCUCAUUUCCACCCCUAGUGGGAAUAGGGGCCAACUUUUAAUUUUACUACAAGCACUUUAAUUAGUAGGGGUGGGUAAGCGGGCUGGCCCGCCCCACGUAAGGCUCGUCCGCAUAAGCCCGCAUUGGUAGUGGAUCGGGCCAGCCCGUCCCGCAUUCAUACACGGACCAAAUAAAUUGGUUCGCCCCUGCCCCGUGGACCCCGCGGGUCAAACGGGUUGGUACGCGGGCCUAAUUUUAAAAGAAUUUCAAUUUCAAUAAAAAUACAACACGAUCAAAUUAAGUUCAAUACAAAUGUAAAUAAAAUCUUAACAAUUAGUCAAUUACAUCAAUAAAAUAAAUAAUGUAUUAACAAAAGAAAAUCCAAACAAUAAAUUUAAAAUAUGAAACUUAAACAUCUCUAACAACAAAUGAUUUCAUAGUUGAAACAAUAAAAUCCUAAUGGGGGCAACCCAUAGACCCCGCGGGCCAAACCCACAUAGUCCGCGGAUUAAGCAGAACGAACCCAAAAAUAUGACAUAACCAUGAACCGUUUAAAAAAAUUAAUUUAUUACCCGCGCGAACUGCGGUACAGUCCAUGGACCUGAACCUAUUUAUCCACCCCUAUUAAUUACAGUCCAUGUUUCUAAUUGCGGUCCCAAACUUUCCAAAAAUUACGAUCACCAACUAUUUUUAAAAACCUAGCUACAGAGGAUAAAGUCCUUGCUUAAACAUCUUCUCGGGUUUUUUUACCAAAUUACAUAUUCUCUCUCCAUUCUUUUCCUAAAAUACACUACUUUGGCCUUUUAUUCCCAAAGUACACCUGUUUUGGCCACUUCACGGAAGUCGGGUUCUCACACCUCGACUUUCGUUCUUCCUUUUUUUUUUUAUAAAAAAGUUUUUGUAUUAUUAAAAUUAAAUAUUAUAUUAUAUAAAAUUAUUUUUAAAUAAUUUGAAAAUUAUUUAUUUAUUAAAUUAAUUUAUGUAAUAUUAUUUUAUAAUUUAAUUUUGUUAUUAAAAAAAUGAUAUUAUUAAAUUUAAGUGUUUUUGUUAUAUUAUUUAAAUUAUUUAAGAUAUUUUUUGGUGAAUAUAUAUUUUAAAAUCUGAAUUUUGUAUAAUAAUAUAUUUAUUUUAGUAAAUAUUUAUUUUGUAUAAUAAUCUGAAUUUUAAAAUUUUUAAUUUAACUAUUUUAUUAAAUAUAAUUAGUUUGUUUAUGUUAUUAGAUUUAAUUAAAAAUGAUAAAACUAAAGCUUUUAACAAUUUAUUUAUAUAAGAACAUUAUACUACGUCAUCAAUAAAAUAUUUAAACAAUGACAUUUGUCUAAGGAAAAACUAAGAUGAGGAUACAUUAGGACAAUUAUUUCUGCUAUGACCAUGUUGCCGGCAAAGUCCACAUUUUUUUCUACUUGCUCGUUCAUUUUCGUCUUCGUCCAUCUCAGUAGGAAUGCGAGUUGAAACGGGACGACCCUUUGCAGUCCUCUUUCUCCUUGGAUCAGGACCCCACUGAUCUCCUUCAUAUUCUUGCCACAUUGAUUCGUGUGGCAAUAAACCAAAGGAGUUGUCGUAGAUGUGCAAAAUGUGUUGUAAAGUGAAUAUCAUCGGCACAUAGGUCAUGGGAUCAACAUUGACAGAUUUACAGGCAGCCAUGACGUGAGAACACGGUAAAUGUUUAUCCUGAAAUUCACCACAAUCACACUUUUGGGAUUGUAACAUUACUCUAAACCUUCCAGGUGGUCUGGGUGUUUCAAGUGGGGAUUGAGUCUCGGUUAUAAUAAAAGUGUGAUUGUGUCUGUCGAAUUCAUUUACAAUGUGUGUAUUAGAUUCUUGUUGACCACUAUUGAUUGCAUCGAAGAAGACUUCAGAAUACUGUGAGCCGGAGUUGAUCAUUUCCUGAGUUUGUCGACCUCUAUUAGCAAAGAGUUGUGCGGUCUUGAAAUAGGUCUCCUCAACCAAUGAUGACACCAGCAAAUGUCUUGUGUUUUUUAACAUGAAAUUAACAGACUCCGACAAAUUGGUAGUCAUAUGUCCCCAACGUUUCCCCUCAUCAAAGCAUUGUACCCAUUUUUGUUUGGGUAAUUGAUCAAGCCAUUCAGCUGCACUUGGCUUAUUCGCACGAAUAUCCCCAAGAUGUCGCCAGUGCAUCUUCUCCGUGUAUGCGUACCCUGUAAAUAUUUAAUCAAUGUAUUAUGUUAUAAAAUUUGAUUGAAAGAAAAUUAUAACGAAUAAAUAAAAUAGAUUUUCACCAGCCAACAUAAGUGGUUUCUUUAAAUGUUUGCAGUUUGAGUUACCACGAAGAAAGUUUUGUGCAAUGUGGCACAGGCAAAAGAAAUGGGAUGUGUCCUGGACCCAUAAGUUACUUGGGUUGUUGUAGGCACUUAUAAUUGAGGAGUGUCGGUCUGAAAUAAGAGAAAUGUUAAUUUGCGGAGUAACAUGUCUUCUCAAAUUCUUUAGAAAAAACCUCCAAGCUGAAGUUGUCUCCCCUUCUACAAUGGCAUAGGCAAUCGGGAAGAUAUGGUUAGCUCCAUCUUGUGCGGUAGCUAUCAACAGUGUGCCAGUAUACUUUCCAUAAAGCCAUGUACCAUCUACUUGUACAAUGGGUUUGCAAUAUGCAAAACCAUUAAUGCAUGGACCAAAUGACCAAAAGACACGUUUAAACAAUCUUUUGCUCGGUACUAUUUCUCCCCCCUCAUACAAGGAUUCUGUUUGAGCAGCGACCACAGUCCCGGGAACACAAGAUUGCAAAGCUCCGAAAAGUUUUGGCAGUUUGGCAUAUGAUUCUUCCCAGUUUCCAUGAAUCAUCUCCAAUGCUUUUUGCUUUGCUAACCAUGUCUUCUUGUAGGAUGGGGUAUAAUUCAUGAACGUUUUGAUCUCUGCAAUCAAUGUCUUGAUGAAGACAGUUGGGUUUGUUUUGACAAUUGGUUGGAUGAUCUGUGUUAUGACGUGUUUGUCGAGUUGGCGAUGAUCUUGUCUAAGCAUCGGCACGAGACAAGUGUGAUGACCUCUGAUACUCUUGAUAAUCCAUUUGUUAUGCCUCUUUGAAUUGCAUGCGCCCAAGCUCCAUGUACAACCAUUUUCAUGUAACUUGCAGACGAAGUGUAGCCUUCUUUGGUCAGAGUAAAUUGUUCUGCAAUCAAAAUGAUUUCUGAUGUUGUAUUCUUUGAUUGCUCGAAUACAUUGUGAUUUGUCAUCGAAUGUCAUGCCAACCUCGAGUACACCGACUGGUGGUUGCACAUUGUGUUGCUGAUAAACAAAAUGGGGUCGAUCAAUAUAGUGUAGUAGGUGGUCAAAGUUCAAGUCUACUGGACACCUAGGUUGCUGAUAUUGCAACAGAGGUGACGGAGGUGUCGUUGGUCUGCCAACACCCUCGUCAUCGAUUUGGUCAUCACUUUGGUCAUCGCUUUGCUGAUUGAUGUGAUCAAAGAACUGUUGAUCCUCAUCCUCAGUAAAAUCAUCCAUGUUUUCAUGAUGAAAUCGUAUAAUGGGAUCUUCGUUAGCAAUAGGAUGUUCAUCUCGGUUUGAUAUUUGCGUUUGUGGUAGCUGUGAAGGUGGCGUAAAGGGGGAUGAAGGAUGGUUUUGUUGGUCAAAGGAGGUUUGUUGGCCAUGAAAAAAGGAAUCAUUCUCGGAUAAUAUUUGUGUGUAUGAAGUAUAAAUGUCAAAGGGGUCUUGUGAUUCAAGGUUGUUGUAUGAAGAUACUGGAUUAUUGAGGUCUAUGUUGUUGUACGGUAACUGUUGUGGAGGCAGUAGUUGUAGUUGUGGACAUGAGGGUUGUGGAGACGAUGGUUGUGGUUGAGAAAUAAGCUCAGUAACAGCAUAGAAUUCGGCAGAAUUCAAUUGUGGAUUCUGGAUAAUUGUUUCCAUCGCGCCUCUAAGAUCAUCAUUGUCGAAUAGUUGAGCCGAAAUAAAACGUGUCUGACCGAGAUGAAUUGAAAUAGGGACACGAAAUAACAAUUGAGCAACUUGUUCAGUUGCUCGAGUAGAAAGACGAUUGUUAAUUUUUCGAAUGAAUUGUGUAAACGUAAUAGAACGACUGGCGUAAAAAAAUAUUGGGGUCGUACAUUGGUACGUCGAUCCUUGAACGGGAUCAUCUACAAUGUGACCACUGUGGUAAAUGAGGGUCGGAAUUUCUUUAGGUGGAGCCAUGGUGGUGCUUAUGGGAUAUGAGUGGAAAUGGUGUGAGAGUUACAAAUCGAGUUUUGUUUUGUGAGAAAAUUGUUGUGUGUGAUAUGUUGUUGUCAAAUGGUGAUAUUAUAUAUAGGCUGAGAAAGUUUAGUACUAGAGUUAGAUUGUAAUGUUAGGUGGGAGAGUUAGAUUGGAAGGUUAGGUUGGGAGAGUUAGUUACGAGGGUUAGAUGGGAGUGUUAGAUUGGAAGGUUAGAUGAAAGAGUUAGAUUGGAAGGUUAGGUGGGAGAGUUAGUUACGAGGGUUAGAUGGGAGGGUUAGGUGAGAGUGUUAGAUUGGAAGGUUAGGUAAGAUAGUUAGAUCGAAAGGAUAGAUGGGAGGGUUAGGCAGCAAAGUUAGUUACGACGGUUAGGUAGGAGAGUUAGGUAGGACAUUAAGUGCAUGUGAGUAAUUUAGUGUACACAUGUGAGUGAACAGUAUGCAACCUCACACAUUAAUAUACAUGACAGACUGUUCGUUUAAUCAUGAUUGUUGACCGCAGUGUUCUGUAUCGCAUGCCAAGGUCACAUGGAUUGUUCAGAAACAUGUUAAUGGGAUAAACAUACGCAUGUGAGUGAACAGUGUGCAACACCAAACUUCAAAGCAUCUCUGAAAUGAUGCAUAUGUAGACUAUUAUUACUGAAGUAAAUUAAAAAUAACAACUUCAAAGCAUACAACAACUACAACUAGAUAAUAAAGACGGAGAAAAACUUCAAUGCAAUACAACAACAAAAUAUGUUAAAUUAUUCAUUCUAAUUUCAUGGUAUUCUCCAGCUUCUGCUCCAUGUCAGCCCAACUUAGGUCAUUAACUUGAGUAGGUGAUAAUGAAUUAUGAACAUCAACUUUAAGUUCCAUACAUAUUACACUUCUCAUAUUGAGAAAUGUAUGAAACAUGCAUGAGACACCUUCUUCGUCAAUAAUUUGAAUUGCCCUAUAUUGAACUUCACCAUUUAAUUGAUAUAUAGGACAACGAUACCAAAGGGUAUUAAUUAUAGGCGUAACACCAUUAUCUGUAAUUGAUGACUGUAUUGCAGUGAUUAUAUUUGGCAGCGUCAUUGUUGGAUUCAAGAGUAACGACUUUGUGUUGUCACCUCUGAAAAUUGCAUUUGCACUUGAACUUUGAAUGAUUUCACCAUUGAUAUAAACGUACACACAAAUAGGCUUUGACCUCAUUGCUAGCCCUCUCUGUUUUCUCUCACAAUUUGAUUAGACACAACAGUGCAAAGUAUUAGGUGACAUGGUAGGUUUAUAUAUGCAAUCAAUCACGGGUCCAUGGUUCACGUGAAUUAGAAUCUCGAUGCAUCACAGUAACACAGUCGUGUUAAUGUGCUUUGGAAUCUCGAGGCCUUACAACGAGACAAAAUAUAAAUGUGGUUUGGAAUCUCGAGGCAUUACAAUUACAUUAAGUGUAAUGUUGAGGCCAUGCGAAAUGUUGAGAACAAAGCUAAUGCGGUUAUCGUACGCAUGUGGGUGAAUAGUGUGCAUGAAAAUGUCAUUGGUUCACGUGCAUUAGAAUCUCGAUGCGUGACAGUACCACAAUUGAUGCUAAUGUGCUUUGGAAUCUCGAGGCCUUGCAACGAGACAAUUUAUAAAUGUGCUUUGGAUUCUCGAGACAUUUACAAUUACCUUAUCGUACGCAUGUGGGUAAAUAGUGUGCACGAAAAUAUCAUUGGUUCACGUGCAUUAGAAUCUCGAUGCGUGACAGUACCACAGUUGAUGUUAAUGUGCUUUGGAAUCUCGAGGCCUUGCAACGAGACAAUUUAUAAAUGUGCUUUGGAUUCUCGAGACAUUUACAAUUACCUUAUCGUACGCAUGUGGGUGAAUAGUGUGCACGAAAAUGUCAUUGGUUCACGUGCAUUAGAAUCUCGAUGCAUGACAGUACCACAGUUGAUGUUAAUGUGCUUUGGAAUCUCGAGGCCUUGCAACGAGACAAUUUAUAAAUGUGCUUUGGAUUCUCGAGACAUUUACAAUUACCUUAACGUACACAUGCGGGUGAACAGUGUGCACAAAAUUUUAGUGAUUCACGUGAAUUAGAAUCUCGAUGCACCACAGUACCAUAGUCAUGUUAACGUGCUUUGGAAUCUCGAGGCCUUGCAACGAGACAAAUUAUAAAUGUGCUUUGGAAUCUCGAGGCAUUACAGUUAUCUUAAGUGUAUUUGUGCUUGCAAAACCGAACAUAGUGUAAAUAAUAAAUAGAUGAGAGGUGCAUGUCAAUACCACAUGUGCAUCACCCAACUUCAAAUUUUAUAUCAUUUGUAUUCGGUUUACCAUUUGACAUCAUUCUCAUGGAUGAUAAACCUCUAUUGCGUCAUCGACAUGUUCAUCUUUCACGUACUACGAUUAAUGAGUUAAUCACUUCCUAUUACCAUACAAUACCUGAACCAGAACCACAAAUUAUACCAUUAUUAUCAUCUACCGGGUUCCAACAUAUUGCCUUAAUCAAACAGUGUAAAAUUGAUCCUGCAUUGAUCACUGCAUUGGUUGAACGAUGGAGGCCUGAAACACAUACCUUUCACCAGCCAUGGGGAGAGUGCACCAUCACACUCGAAGAUGUUGCACUUUGUAACAUCCCAUUUUUUCAUAAAUAAAUUUAAGAAUUUUUUAGUAAAAAUAAUAAAAAUAAAUAAAUAGAGUAAAUAAUAGGUCGUAAAUGCCCCUAGUUAUAAAUAACAACAUGCUAGGUUUUUCAGACAGACUCCUCAGCCUUCUUUGCCUCUCAUUUUCGUUUUUCUCCUUCUCCUCUCAAAACCCUUUCUUUUUCCCGCAGCCCACAAAACUUGUCUCAGAAAAACGAUGAUCUCGGACUCAUUAACCGUUGGAUCGUCGUGAAAUUUGAGCACCACAUUCGCAACCCAAUUUCGAGCAUUCUCACCGUUAGGAAUUGCAAAAUCAUGUCUGACCUUAGAGGAAAACCCUUCGCAUUGUAGCUUUUUAUUAUCCCGCAGAAACCCAAAACUGUCUCGGUAAAACUACGAUCCCGGUUUCGUUAACCGUUGGAUUUUCAUGAAAUUUGGAUAUGUUGCUCGAAAUUCAAUUUCGCACACUCUAACCGUUGGGAUUUGCGAGAUAAUAUUCGUAGUGGGAGAAAAAGGAAUCGCAUGGAGACAGUACAAGCGGAGUCUUCAAUCUCUUCUCCGUUUCUCUGACGUUUGAGAAUUCUAUCGGAGCAGUCGGAGGAAAAACUUGAGGAAUCUCAAGGAACCGCUAUAGAUGCCGCUAUCGUUGUCGGAAGACACGUGAGUCCGCUUAGAGGUAAGGGAUGAGUUAUUCACAAUUGGGAAAUAGUGAGAACAUGUAUAGGGAUUCUUAGAGAUAUCAAUUGGAAAAGGUUUUUGAGUGUUUUUGCAAUUUCAUUUUAUCCUUAUAAUUAUUACAGUGAAUUAUAUAUGUUUGACAAACCAAUUGUUGUGAAAUUGAUAUGCUAUUAUGUUGAGCAUGAACCCUAUAAAUUGAGUACUUUUUCUAAUUAAUAUGAAUUGAUGAAAUAAAAUAAGGAGAAAUUUAGAGAGAGAUAUUGAUUUUGUAUUUUCUCUUUUUCUUGUGCAUUGAAAGCUUACUUUGAAAUUUGUGAUUCAAUAUGAUGUAUGCCAGUUUAUAGAUAUAGAGGUAGCUAUUUAUAUUAAUAAUUUAUGUAAAUAAUAUUGUAGAGUGUUGUAGUAUGAUUCCAAAAAUUAUUAAGUGUUGGAGUUUGAGAAUAUUAUGGUUAAAUUUCAUGAACAUGUGUAUGUUGUACCUUAUGAAUAUCAUUGACAAUGUUAUGAGAUGGUUGAUGUGAUGUUAUGAGAUGUUAAAGUGUGAACAUGAUAUUCGAUUGUGAAUAAGUGGAUGUGUUAACACUUGAUGUUACAUUAAUUAUAUCGUGAGCUAUGAAUUAUACAAUAACUCGACCAGUGUUUAUGCGCAGUGUUAAAGAGAAAGUGUAGGUUCCUAGUUAGGAACCAGUGUUAAAUUGUAGCGCAAUUGUGUUAAACAUGUUUGAAACAUGAGUGUGAGGUCGUGGUAUUGUAUAAUUCAUGAGCAGUGCUUAUAAAUGAAAUAUGUGAUGAAUUGUGGAAUGAUAUGUUGCCUUGAGAUUAUAAUAUUGUUAUUGAGAUUGAGUAAAAGUGUAAAGUAGAACAGGUGUUGAAUUGUGAGAUAUGUGAAAACAUGUGAUGGUGGAUUGUAACAUUAUGAGAUGUGAAAUUGUGAAUGAGUUUUGGUUGUGAAUAAGUGUGUGAUUAACUCUUGAUGUGACAUUAUUUGUGUUGUAAGCUGUGAAUUGUACAAUAACCCGACCAGUGUUAUCUUGAGAAAAGUGUAAAUGCGCAGUGUUAAAGAGAAAUUGUAGGUUUCCUAUUUAGGAACCAGUGUUAAAGAGAAAGUGUAGGUUCCUAUUUAGGAACCAGUGUUAAAUUGUAGCGCAAUAUGUUGUACGUGCUUAAGACACGAGUGUGAGGUCGUGGGUAUUGUAUAAUUCACUAGCAGUGUCUGUGUGUUAAAAUGAUUUUAGGGGUUGGACCUGAAUCAGGAGGGAGAGGCCCUGACGGACUCUUCGGAGUGUAGGCCUUGGGGGUCACCGGGUUUGAGUGCUCCUUUAAGCCUAUGCUGAUCCCAUAUGGUUGGAGCAUUCUCGCAAAACAUCGUGACCCUGACUGGUCUCCCUAUGAUCUUACUUAGUGAGAGUGACCUGGCAAACCCAUUAUGUGGUGUGUCUUGUUAUGUACUCCUAAGCGCCCCAGGGUGGUUUUUCACUGACAUGGUACCACAUUGCAUAUAGGCUUGAGUCUUAGCAUAACUGUCUCAUGCGCUUGCUAAUUGUUUAUUAUGAAAUUGAUGUGUUAUUAUAUCUUGAUCAGAGAAUGUGAUUUUUGUGUAAUGUGAUUGAUGAUUGAAAAGUGUGAUUGAUGGAUGAAAAGUGAACUUUGAAUGACAAAGUGGUGGAAUUACGUGAAUUACGUGUAAGUAAAUUUUAUUUAGUGAUAUGUAUAUCUAGUUGUCUUGUUUCUCUAUUAGUUAGGAAUGUGAUAACUCACUCCCCCUGUGUUGUUUGUAUUUGGAUCAUGUGAUGAUCUUGAACUUUGUGUUCGGGGGAGCAGACGACUAGGUGAAUUGCUUUAAGGAACAUUAUGCUGAAGGACGUCGAGACACAACGCUCUGAUAGAAUGUGACAGUGGGACAUAAGUUUUUAUAUUAGUGGCAUGAUGUUAGUCUAUUUUAUUUUAUUUCACUGAUUUAAUAAAAUAUCUCUGUAAAUUUUGAUGGCCUUAUUUUGAGCCAAAUAUGUUUCAAUAAGUUUUAAUUGAUAAUAGUGAAGUGAAUGUGAACCUUUUACCCGUGUGAAUUUGGUUACCAAUAUUUUUAUAUAUUUUGUUUAUUUAUAUAUAUGUCGGGGUAGAGGGUGUCACACACUUCAUCUAGGCAUUAGAGUUGAUGGUCGUGUUGUGGCUGGACCUAGCUUCUUACAUUGGGAUGAGUUAUGCCACGAGUUACUAGGGGAAGUCCCUCCCGAAAAUGCACGUAAAGGAGCCGCACUGAAGCUAACAUGGUUGCUAAACAUGUUGCGCACACCAUUGCCUGAAGAACCAACAACGCACCAACUACAAUGCAGGUGUAGAGCUUACAUAAUGUACAUGAUUGGCGGUGCUUUAAUUCCUGAUAAAUCUGGAAAUAGAGUUCAUUUAAUGUAUUUGAACCUAUUACGUGAUUUGAACAACACAAAAAAAUAUAGUUGGGGUUCGGCUUGCUUAGCAAACCUGUAUAGAGAACUAUGUCGAGUAUCAUCGGAGGUUGGUAAAUCUAUGGGUGGUUGUGUCAUACUAUUGCAGUCAUGGGCUUGGUACCACAUGCCUUUUAUUGCACCAAGAGUCCCACGACCGGAAACAACUUUUCCACUGGCUAAAAGGUUAUUUACAUAUAGCGAAAUGUAAAUUUUUUUAUUUCAAUGACGUGUAUUAUAACAUUACAAUGAAUACUGAUUAUGUAUGUUUUACAUUUUAGAUGGAGUGGUGGUAGAUUAGAAUAUAGGGCCACACCGCAUGGUGACUUAGUCAGAUAUAGGUCUCGUAUAGAUCAUGUGGAGAGCCAUGAGGUAUGAUACUAUCAUGAUCUGCACCUUAAAUAUAAACAUACAUACUAACAUGUUGCCUUGUUGGCAUAUAUUUUAGUUUUCUUGGAUCCCAUAUAGAGGAUUUGAAGAACACCUACCCAGACGUGCAUAUAGAGACAUGGAGAUUUGGUCUGCAUGUACUGCAAUUAUUUGUUUCUCGAUUGUCGAAUGACAUCAAACAAAUCGAGUGAAGCUACAGUUUGGACUACAACAAGAUAUCCCUGUUGAUCCCAUGAAUCUUGAUUUACUUCACCAAAUUGACAUGCGAGGCAAUCAUUACACUGAUUGGAUGGAAUAUCAUGCGGAGUGGAUUAAUAUCUGGAAAAACAAACACAACGAUAUUUUAGCUGGGCAAUGGGUUGAAGGAAUAGUGACACAUACACCAGCGUACAUGGAAUGGUAUAGAAAAAACACUACUUUGUUCUUGUCUGUUGAACAACAACUACAUGAUCCGCUCACAACAAUUACACAAAAUGUUGCAAGGUCAGGUGUUGAACAAACACAUUUUGAAAUUCUACAUCCUUAGUCAAUGUAUUCUACUCCUUCACCUGUUCAUCAAACUUUUGGCCACACUGGCGAGUCAGUCACCGCAACCACCCAUGAAUGGAUGAACGAUUUAUUUGGCGUCGAUUUCAAUACACCAAAUUCAGCGGCAUCAUAUUUAGCUACUUUACAACAGUUCGAUGCACCGCAUUCGUUUGGAGAACAAGGUCAAAGUUCUUCAGCUGCAACAACCAACAUUGAAAAUACUAACAUAGAACAACAACAUGAUCAUGACGUGGAAGAACCAGUCAUACUGGAAAGAAGAAAUCCUCGACGUAAUCGGCGUCCACCACCUUGUGGGACUGGUCAUCGUCUUGGUCAUUGAAGUAUAAAAUGUUGUGAUAAUGGGAUCAAAUAUGUGUAAGUACCCCUGUAACGGCAUCAUCAAAUAUGAUUUGGACCCUUGCAAUUAUGCUUAAGAGCCCAUGUUCUGCAUUUUUUUAAAAUUAUGUCCAACACAUUAAUGAUGUUUGUGACUCAUUUUUUCUAUAGUUUGAACGUCAGAGAAUCCAAAAAAAAUUAUUUAGUGCACCAGUUCCAUCGACUAACACCUCAAAAUACAAGUACAAAAUAAAAAAAAAAACUAUGAUUUGGACCCUUCCAACUAUGCUUAAGAGCCCAUGUUCUGCAUUUUUUUAAAAUUAUGUCCAACACAUUAAUGAUGUUUGUGACUCAUUUUUUCUAUAUUUUGAACGUCAAAGAAUCCAAAAAAAAUUAUUUCGUGCACCAGUUCCAUCGACUAACACCUCAAAAUACAAGUACAAAAUCAAAAAAACUAUGAUUUGGACCCUUGCAACUAUGCUUAAGAGCCCAUGUUCUGCAUUUUUUUAAAAUUAUGUUCAACACAUUAAUGAUGUUUGUGACUCAUUUUUUCUAUAGUUUGAACGUCAAAGAAUCCAAAAAAAAUUAUUUUGUGCACCAGUUCCAUCGACUAACACCUCAAAAUACAAGUACAAAAUAAAAAAAACUAUGAUUUGGACCCUUGCAACUAUGCUUAAGAGCCCAUGUUCUGCAUUUUUUUAAAAUUAUGUCCAACACAUUAAUGAUGUUUGUGACUCAUUUUUUCUAUAGUUUGAAUGUCAAAGAAUCUAAAAAAAAUUAUUUUGUGCACCAGUUCCAUCGACUAACACCUCAAAAUACAAGUACAAAAUCAAAAAAACUAUGAUUUGGACCCUUGCAACUAUGCUUAAGAGCCCAUGUUCUGCAUUUCUUUAAAAUUAUGUCCAACACAUUAAUGAUGUGUGUGCCUCAUAUUUUCUAUAGUUUGAACGUCAGAGAAUCCAAAAAAAAUUAUUUCGUGCACCAGUUCCAUCGACUAACACCUCAAAAUACAAGUACUAAAUCAAAAAAAAACUAUGAUUUGAACACUUUUUCCAUAAUAAUAACGUCAAAAACUUCAAAAAAAAAUAAUAUUCGUGACACACUGCAAUUUUCACAAAUCAAUUUUUUUUUACUCUGAAAUUAUAAUGGACUUCUGCUGCAUCAAUUAUCAGGGAUAAAUCACAGUCGAAAUUGACAACACUCGACAAUUUCUAUAGGUCUCUAAAAAAAUAUCUCACCAGUAAAACUUACAUGACAUGCACUACUCAAUUUUUUUUCACUCUGCUAAUUAUAAUGGACUUAUACUCCAUCAAUUACCAGAGAUAAAUCACAGUUAAAAUUGACAACACUCAGCAAUUUACACACGUCUCUAAAAAAAUAAAUGUCGCACUAGUAAAACAGACAUGACAUGGACAACUCAAUUUUUUUCACUCUGAUAAUUAUAAUGGACUUCUGUUCCAUCAAUUACCAGGGAUAAAUCACAGAUGAAAUUGACAACACUCGGCAAUUUUCACACAUCUCUAAAAAAAUUAAUGUCGCACCAGUAAAACUGACAUGACGUGGACAACUCAGUUUUUUUUCACUCAGUUGUUUUUUUCACUCAACAAUUUGCACAUUAUGGACCCUUGUAAAUAUGCUUAAGUGUUCAUUUACUCGUUCAUCUAAAUGCACAGUUAACUAGUGACUCACUCAAUUAUAACCAAAUUCUAUAAAUACCACUACAGCUAAAGACAUUCGUAACAAUUUCAAAUUUUCAUCUCAAUCCCUACCACAAUAUGUCACCUAACUGCAUAUGUUUGUGUUUACUACGACGGCCAAAUUUGCAAUACUAAUGAGGGCACCACCUUCGUUAGUAACAACACAAAAACUUUCAUGGUCGACAAGGUCAUAACCUUUACACAAUUGCUUGAACUUGUUCACCAAAAACUAAACAUUGACCCAAAACAACAUAUCCAACAUCUCCAUUUUCGGUGCCCUAUAUUUGAGUCAGGACAACGUUAUAUGUACACAUCUUUUAUUCUGCGAGAUGAUGCUGAUGUUCGACAAAUGUUCAACAUUUUUUACAAUAACCCAUCACUACCAUUUGUGGAGUUAUUUGCCAUAAUCUGUCACAAUAAUGACCCACCAGGCAACCAACAUGGCUCAACCUCUAAUCUUGAGGACUUAGGUGAAUACGAGACUUGUUGGCUCAAAAACCAUGAUAGUGAUACGGGCUCCUCUUCCGGGCCCGAAGGAAGUAACCUGUCUCCAUCCCACGAACCUAUAUUUCUUCUUUGAGAUUUUCAUGUAAUGUCUUAUGUCUGUCUUCAGUUAUCACUUUACGUAUUGAAAUAAUUUUUCCUUUAAAUUUAAAUUAGCAAUUUUCAGUUUACCCACUUUUACUGCAGUAGUUGACAUGGUAACAUAACUGUCAAAAUUCACAAUACUUUGUCAUUUACACUACACUGUUUUUAAAAAUUCAAUGUCUCAUCGACAAAACUGACAUGAAAUGGACAACUCAUAAUCUCUUUAUUCACUCUAAAAAUAACUAUGGACGUUUGCUGCUUUAAUUACAAGGAAAAAAUCACAAUCCAAAUUGACAAUACUCUGCAAUUUGCAUACGUCUCUAAGAAUUAAAUGUCUCACCUGCAAAACUGUCAUGAAAUGGACAACUCAUAAUCUCUUUAUUCACUCUGAAAAUAACUAUGGACGUUUGCUGCUUUAAUUACAAGGGAAAAAUCACAAUCCAAAUUGACAAUACUCUGCAAUUUGCAAACGUCUCUAAAAAUUAAAUGUCUCACCUGCAAAACUGUCAUGAAAUGGACAGCCCGUCAUCUCUUUAUUCACUCUGAAAUUCAUCAUGAACGUCUGUUGCUUUAAUUACAUGGGAAAAAUCACAGUCCAAAAUAACAACACUCUGCAUUAUGAGCUGUCCAUUUCAUGUCAGUUUUACAAGUGAUACAUUUAAUUUUUAGAGACGUGUGCAAAACUGACAUGAGAUGGACAACUCAUAAUCUCUUUGUUCACUCUGAAAUUAUAAUGGACGUCUGCUACAUCACUUACUAGGGAAAAAGAAACAUUGGAUUCCAAUACACAUCAACGUGACAGAAUACUCAUACAACUAUAAAUAACACAACACAGACACAAUACAAACACACAAUCUCACACAACAUAAUUUCACAAACCAAAUUCAAUCUUAUUACUAUGUCAUUUUGGGAGAAACAAGCAGUCAGACCAUUACUAACUCCAGAUUAGCUUUCAUUUUUCCAAAUGGAUCAAUCAGUUACAACCAAACUGGUGUUUAUUUUCAAAGUCUUAUUCCAACACCAAUGCGAGUUCCUAACAACUGUUCUUUUGAUACACUCAAGCGUAGAAUGCACAACACCCUUCAACUAACCAACGAUCAAUUACUGGAUGAAAUCUACUACCGACAGCCAUUCAUAGAUGCAGGUCAACAAUAUUUUUUUCAAUCUUUACAAUUGAAAAAUGAUGAUGAUGUUUACACAAUGUUAAUGUGCAAUGACCAAUACUCGUGUGUUGGCCCUAUAGAAUUAUUAUGUACCAUUAUUAGAACACCGGAUGCUAUACUCAAUCUGCUUCAAUCAAUCAUCACUCCUACUCAUGAUGCAAUUAUGUAUUACAACGGGAAGUGGAACAUACCACGUCAAGGUGAGUUUUUGGGUUACUCCUUUACUGGAACUAAUCCAAUAAGAUUUGACAUUCCUUCGGGAUGUGGCAUGGAGAAACUCAAGGAUUUAAUCAAACAAGUUGCACCUACAGGGGUUCCCCCUAAUGGAAUUCACGGAUCACAAUUGGUUAGACGAUUAUUCUUUCGACAACCAGGUCAUUCUAAGUAUUCCGAAAAUUUGAUUGAAUAUGACAUAACAGAAUUGAAAAAUGAUGAAGACGUGCUAAAAGUGUUAGCACAAUCCAACUAUUGGAAACGAUUCUGCACAAUAGAAAUUUUGGCUAUUUUUAGCAAACCAGUAAUCUAAAUAGAAGAAGACAUGUAUUCUGCACAACAUAUCUCAUAUCCUCAUUAGUUUUGUUAUGUUUGCAUUGUAAGUGUAAUUUUUAAUAUGUUUCAUUAUUGUCGAGUAUCAUUUCAAUGACUGUAAUUUGAGUAUUUUGUCUAUGACUGAUUUGUCAUAUAUUUUUUUGUGGUGUUUUUUUACUGUAUUUUAAUACUACUAACUAAUUUUAUUAUUUUUUAAUUACAAGAACAUACAAAAAUUAACAAAACAUAAAUUUAACUACACAAUUACAUAUAACAUAAAUAAAAAAUUAUACUCUAAUUUUAUCCAAUUUUAUAUUUUUCUUUAUAUGUAUAUUUCUCUUUACAAAAAAUUAUAAAAUAAUAUUACAUAAAUUAAUUCAAUAAAUAAAUAAUUUUCAAAUCAAUUAAAAAUAAUUUUAUAUAAUAUAAUUAAAUUAAAAAUUUUAAAAUUCAGAUUAUUAUACAAAAUAAAUAUUUACUAAAAUAAAUAUAUUAUUAUACAAAAUUCAGAUUUUAAAACAUAUAUUCACCAAAAAAUAUCUUAAAUAAUUUAAAUAAUAUAACAAAAACACUUAAAUUUAAUAAUAUCAUUUUCUUAAUAACAAAAUUAAAUUAUAAAAUAAUAUUACAUAAAUUAAUUUAAUAAAUAAAUAAUUUUCAAAUUAUUUAAAAAUAAUUUUAUAUAAUAUAAUAUUUAAUUUUAACAAUAUAAAAACUUUUUUAUAUAAAAAAAAUAGAAGAACGGAAGUCGGGGUGUGAAAACCAGACUCCCGUGAAGUGGUCAAAACAGGUGUACUUUGGGAAUAAAAGGUCAAAGUAGUGUAUUUUAGGAAAAGAAUGGAGAGAGAAUAUGUAAUUUGGUAAAAAAACCCAUCUUCUUGCCUAUAAAUAGACCCAAAUAAUGUGAGGUUCCAUACUCCAAAAUCCACAUCUAGCAGCAAAUUAUGGAAUCCCAUGAUGAAGAGCAUGCUGCCAAACUACUUAGAGCUCAAACCCACAUAUGGAAUCACAUAUUUAGCUUCAUAAACUCCAUGUCCCUUAAAUGUGUGGUUGACUUAGGCAUACCAGAUAUCAUACACAACUAUGGCCAACCCAUGCCACUCUCAAACCUCAUUGCUUCACUACCAAUCCACCCAUCCAAAACUUGCUUCGUCCAUCGCUUGAUGCGAAUCAUGAUCCAUUCUGGCUUCUUCUCUUUACAAAAUCAUGACUUGGAGAAUGAGCUAGAAGCCAAGUAUGUGCUAACCGAUGCAUCUGUACUACUGCUUAAGAACCAUCCGAUGAGUGUGACACCUUUCUUGCAUGCCAUNNNNNNNNNNNNNNNNNNNNNNNNNNNNNNNNNNNNNNNNNNNNNNNNNNNNNNNNNNNNNNNNNNNNNNNNNNNNNNNNNNNNNNNNNNNNNNNNNNNNNNNNNNNNNNNNNNNNNNNNNNNNNNNNNUCACUUGUUCAAUGAUGCCAUGGCAAGUGAUGCUCGAUUUGUCACUAGUUUGGUGAUUGAGAAAUGUAAGGGAGUGUUCAUGGGAUGGAGUCAUUGGUUGAUGUUGGGGGAGGCACAGGGACCAUGGCAAAAGCCAUUGCUAAAUCAUUCCCUCGGGUGGAAUGCAUUGUGUUUGAUCUACCACAUGUUGUUUCUGGCUUGAAAGGAAGUGAGAACCUUAAAUAUGUUGCAGGGGACAUGUUUGAGGCAAUUCCUCCAGCUGAUGCCAUUUUGUUAAAGGUAAAUCACUAUUCACAUUCAGAAUACAAUUUUACAUUCAUACCAUUAACACCCAGUUUUUAUACUUGAGUGAUGUCAAAUUUUAAAGAAUUAAAGCAAAUAAUUGAUCGAUUGGAAAAAAAAAUGAACGAUUUUAUGAUCAUUGAUCACUUGAAAUAACUUCAAAUAUAUAUAUGUAUAUUGUUCACUAAGCUAGUAAGCUAGCACCAGCUAGUAGUCCAACUACAUAUCUGCCACUAUCAUACCAAAUCAGACCAACUAAGUGGUCUAUAUGGCUUGUAAUAAUUAGUACUAGUUUACUAAGUGGGUACGUAAAGUAACUAGCAUAUGAUUAUUUGAAAAGUAAAUCUCUGCUCAUAUUCUAGAAAAAAUAGUUAUAGAUCUCUUCAAAUUUGACUUUUCUUUUUUCUGAAGUAUUGACUAUAUGUUGCGGUUAAAAACAUUACAUGAUGUGCCAAUUCAUUCUACCAAGCUUAAUAUGAAUGCAAGUCAAUAUUUUAUGAUUCUGAUCGGUGUGUUACUUUGAAUGACAAAGCAGUGGAUAUUGCAUGACUGGAAUGAUGAGGAGUGUGUGGACAUAUUGAAGAAAUGCAAAGAGGCCAUAACGAGGAAAGGCAAAGAAGGGAAGGUGAUCAUCAUAGACAUGGUGGUGGAGAAUGAGAAGAGAGAUGAUGAAUCAGUUGAAACACAGCUCUUCUUUGAUAUGCUGAUGAUGGUGUUGGUCACUGGAAAAGAGAGAAGCAAGAAAGAAUGGGCUAAGUUGAUUUCCUCUGCUGGUUAUAACAACUACAAGAUAACUCCAGUCUUGGGCUUAAGGUCUCUCAUUGAGAUCUAUCCAUAGUAAGUUAAUGAGAUGUGCCAGCACUCUAUCAUUCAUAUAUGUUAGGGCUAUAAUUUUUCUGUUUCGAUUCAUGAGUGAAUGUUGGAUAAGUAACAAUAGCAAUAGACUGAACUCUCUUCAUCAUAGUUGUGUUGUUGGAACAGUACUGUCAAGAAAGGAAAAAAAAAAAAUCUGAGGAUAAGUAUAGUUUGCGUGGUAUAUAUAGCAGGUGAAGAAAAAAAGGAACAUGUGGUUAAAGAGCACAGUGAGUUUGGCAAUUACUUUUUUUUUUGGUAACUGAAUUUGCCUUGUAUUAGAUUUGUGAAGAACUAAGUUUGUGAGAGUUGUUAUUGAAUAAGAUUGUUUCUAAAGGUUUGAUAAAGGUAUAAUGGUUUAUCUAAAUACAUUUC